rnacentral:lncRNA from 1 species
CGGCCGCCCUGAGCGAGGAGCCGACUGCGGCCUCCGCGACCCCUCCCGCAGCUCCGCCCACCUCCCCACCCUACGGGUCCCCGGGGGAGAGCGGAGCAGCUGGCCAAUGAGGGUGCGGGCAGUUCGAAAGGCCGAGGUGCUGCGCCUCUCCCAGGACCUUAUGCUCCGCACGAAACCUGGCAGCCUACGCUUAAUGCGAUUUCCCGGCUGUCUUCCGACAGCCAAGAGCAUGCAAAGCGGCUGUCAACAUGCAGACCAGCUCUGAACGGCACCAAGUAGGAUCAGAGAAGGCCCAGGCAGUGUGAAGGGACAGGAAAUACACCUGAGGAGUCGCUUUCAGAGAAGUGCCUGAGCCUUUCGGUACAUGGAUCCUCUUCCCAUUUGCGCCUUUGGAAAAAAUACGCAUUCGCCAUUGCUCCGUGCCCGCGGCCUGGAGGUUCCUGGUUUCACCCUCAAGUACUAAACAUACAAACUGGGCCGUAUACUGGAGGCAUGGAGCGCAGCUCUAAUGAAACCAGUCUGUCGAUGGCCGAUGUUGCUCAAACAUCCAGCUUAGUCCUGCCCACCCACCUCCUGGUAGCCGUGGAGACUUCUCCUCCACCUUGUAGUCCCCCAUUGUCCAUUCGUCUGUUCCCUGCUUUGCUCUCAGUAAAUACUUAAACAGAGGCCUUUCAGCGGGAGGGUUAGCCGGGGCGCUGGGGUCUGCAGGUCCCACAGGACCUGCCUGUCCAGCAAACCCAGUGGGUCUGGCCUUCGUGCGCUACUUGAUUUGUGGAGCAGCCUGGAGAAGUCGGAGGAAAAUGAAAUUUAUUUGUAGUCAGUGUGUUAGCUUUCAAUUGCUGUGACAAAGCAUCUAAGAAAAUCAACUUACAAGAGGACAGGUUUAGUUUGGCUCCUGAUUUCAGAGGUUCCAGUGUGUUACGGCUUAGAAGUGUGCACCGUGACUCUCCUGUAUUUGGAAGGUCGGGUUGGUGUUAUGCUUGUCCGUGGAUUCAUCCAUUUGAGGAGUUCAGCAACUGAAUGUGCUGUCAGGAGGUGGGGCCUGGGCCCAGGUGGCCAAGAGGGGCGUGACCUGGAAGGGCGUGUUCUUGUGCACAGCUCUCCCUUCUCUGCCUCCUGCUGCUGUGGGGUGAGCACCUUUCCUCUGCCAGGGCCUUCGACGGCGCUGUUUGUUUUGGAGCCUACCGACCAUGGCCGGAAACUGUAGGGCGAAAUAAACCUUUGCUUCUAUAAAUUGUGGGUGUGUGGCGUUGUGUAUCAGUGACAGGAAAGUAACCAAGACAGUUCAGGGUUGGCUGGCUCUGUUUGAGGGGCAGCGCAUCACGGCGGGGAACGUGGAGGAACAAAGCUGUUCCCCUCCCUGCGACCGGGAAACAACUGGGGGCAGCGUCCCAGUAUUCCCUUCCGGGUCACACCUGACUUCCGGGGUUUAACUUCCUGCCAUUUGGCCCCACUUUCUGAAGGUUCCGCGACCCACCCAGCUUGGCGACCAAACCUUCAACGUAGGAGCCUUUGAGCCUUUGAGGGAGAGAGGAUUCAAGUCCUGCCAGUCAGCAAACAGGAAUAAAGGGGAAGCAGGAAAGACGAGAGGUGCUGGCGCAGGUCGGCGUUCACAGCAGCUGAGGCCUGUUUGGCCAAGCUCCAUAAUAACCCAGAGAAGACACCCAAAUAAUCUGGAGAGCUGUGUUUUUCUCUGUCAGUUUAGGACUGACCGCUUGGCCAAGGAAACAGGUGGAGGAAGCAGGCCAGGGAAGGCUCUGCCAGCCCGACGAAGCAGAUAGGGCCGAGUCUGAAACCCAGGCCGAGCUGAAGUUGCAGUUAGUGUGGAAAUGAAGAUCUUUCAGAAGAGAGGACGUUCCCAGAGCUUGUUCUCUGUUGUCUCGCCGUCUCUUGGCUCCACCCAGACAGCCCCUUGGCUCGCAGACUGUGGCUCCCCAGCGGGACGGCGGGCAGCCUCCCUAACCUUCUCCUGUAAGGCAGAGAGAAGAGGACGACAUGCUCCCCUCGGAACCCACACGCCGCAGCAGAGUUUGCUGCAGACCCCCAAAGCCAAAUCGCGGGGAGUCCUCGAUGGCAUUUCCGGGAGCUGCCACCACCUACCUAAAAAGCUGGUCUCUCUGCAAAGGCUGGAGAGCCGGAGCUAAAGUCAGAGGACUCAAGCUUGUCUACCUGUUGGGGUCAUAAAGAAGGGAUCAAACUCAGGACCUUGCGCUUGCAGGGCAGACACAGUGCCACUGAGCUAAAUCCCUGGUCCUGUAAUUCUUAGGAGACGCAGCCCGCGGAGGGCGAGGUGAACCACGGCAAGGCGAGGCUUCGUCCUCCUCCCCGCGUUCCAUCCCAUGCCGGUGUCCUGAUCUGAACAUCUGAAACAGCGCGAAGCACUUGCACAACGUGAUGUUCAGACUCAAGACAGCUUCAGGGAAAAAAAGAAGAAAAAAAAGAAACUCAGGAAUAAAGUGUCCCCUCUGAGACUGAAUGAGCUACACAUCUCGGCCCGCUGUGCCACAAAAGCUCCUAACUGUUUUAUCUGUACAGAUGGUUCUCAUUUGGUGUUGGUGGCACGACUCUGUGAGCAUAUUUGUUCCUGAUAAAACUGACUGAAGAACACAGGCUGAGCUCUGCAGUGAAGAGGACCUGCAAAUAUUCUCCACUCUGCAAUUAAACAUCACCCCUAACUUCAAACCUGCUCCCCCUACAUGCUGGGGAAACUCAGAGAGAAGCAGGGGCAGCAUUUGUAAGGGUUAUUUAGGGGACCAGAAGAGUGGGACGGGGGAAGGAAGGAAGUGAUUCUGCCUGUGGAAAUCCUUUCUCUGCUUGAAAAAAUAUCGCCGCACACAAAGACCAUAAACAGAGCCCCUGGAAGACUCCUCUGAGGAACUGUUUUGAAAGCUGGUCCAUGCUCCAGGUCAACAAGAAGGAAAGGGGCCUGGGCGUGGGGGUGACACAGCUCCCCUGUGGGGUGGCCGCCACCCGGCUCUGCUGCCUUUCCGCUCCGAAAACUUCCUCAAUCUGGGUCUCGCUUUUAGAUAAUAAACAUUUGUUAUCCUUGUCCUCGUUAGCUAAAUUUUAUAAGGAGGAAAAUAAGCUAAACAAAGCGAAGAAGUUGUAUACCUGAAAACCUAUCUGUACCCGGCCGGAAUGCAAGGAAGGAAAG